UAUCUCUCCGUACGGGGAAGGAUGAGAAGCUUCGACUAAGGUUCGAUUCGAGCGCAGCGAGAAAGCGUUGCCGCAGGCAACGACCCGA
rnacentral:sRNA from 1 species